UACGUAGGGCGCAAGCGUUGUCCGGAAUUAUUGGGCGUAAAGAGCUCGUAGGCGGUCUGUUACGUCCGCUGUGAAAACCCAGGGCUUAACCCUGGACUUGCAGUGGAUACGGGCAGACUAGGGGCAGGUAGGGGAGAAUGGAAUUCCCGGUGUAGCGGUGAAAUGCGCAGAUAUCGGGAGGAACACCGGUGGCGAAGGCGGUUCUCUGGAACGCAACUGACGCUGAGACGCGAAAGCGUGGGGAGCAAACAGG
rnacentral:rRNA from 1 species